UACGAAGGGGGGCUAGCGUUGUUCGGAAUUACUGGGCGUAAAGCGCGCGCAGGCGGUUCUUUUAAGUCAGGGGUGAAAGCCCAGAGCUCAACUCUGGAAUUGCCUUUGAAACUAGAGAACUUGGGUACGGGAGAGGUGAGUGGAAUUCCGCGUGUAGCAGUGAAAUGCGUAGAUAUGCGGAGGAACACCGAUGGCGAAGGCAAUCCCCCUGGACCUGUACUGACGCUCAUGCACGAAAGCGUGGGGGAGCAAACAGG
rnacentral:rRNA from 1 species